rnacentral:misc_RNA from 1 species
UUUCCGUAGGUGAACCUGCGGAAGGAUCAUUCAUAAUAAGUGUUUUAUGGCACUUUUUUAAAUCCAUAUCCACCUUGUGUGCAAUGUCAGGGUUGGUCUCUUUUUGAUCAGCCCCAAACAUCAACUAUUAUCUCAACUCUUUGUCUGAAAAAUAUUAUGAAUAAAACAAUUCAAAAUACUACUUUCAACAACGGAUCUCUUGGCUCUC